rnacentral:rRNA from 1 species
AGCAGCCGCGGUAAUUCCAGCUCCAAUAGCGUAUAUUAAAGUUGUUGCAGUUAAAAAGCUCGUAGUUGAAUUUCGGGAUCAGUACGCUGGUCAUGCCUUUGGUAUGCACUGGUGUCACUGGUUUCUCCCUUCUGAAGAUCCGUGAUGUCAUUAAUUUGGUGUCGCGGGGAAUCAGGACUGUUACUUUGAAAAAAUUAGAGUGUUUAAAGCAGGCUCACGCUUGAAUACAUUAGCAUGGAAUAAUGAAAUAGGACGUUUGACCCUAUUUUGUUGGUUUCUAGGAUCGACGUAAUGAUUAAUAGGGAUAGUUGGGGGCAUUAGUAUUCAAUUGUCAGAGGUGAAAUUCUUGGAUUUAUUGAAGACUAACUACUGCGAAAGCAUUUGCCAAGGAUGUUUUCAUUAAUCAAGAACGGAAGUUAGGGGAUCGAAGACGAUCAGAUACCGUCGUAGUCUUAACCAUAAACUAUGCCGACUAGGGAUCGGAUGAUGUUAAUUUUAUAAUGACUCUA